rnacentral:lncRNA from 1 species
GGACGAAAUUGGGUUAUAACUUGACUCAAGACCCUUAAAAACACAAACUAAAUUAAUUUCUACUUAAUCUAAUGAUGUGAAAAUUAUGUUGACACUCAAAUUAACCCUCUUUUUAUCAAUUGUAGCAAGUAUGUAAGUAGGGAUCGUUCUAGGCCGGGGAUUAGGAGGGAUUGCAAAUCACUUGGACUUGACUCAAAAACGUAAAAAGAAGUUUAAAACACUAACUAGACUCCAAGAAUGUAAAACUAAAUUUUAAAACACUAAAACAAACCAA